GCCCCUGUAGCUCAGCUGGAUAGAGCAGCGGACUUCUAAUCCGCAGGUCGCAGGUUCGAAUCCUGCCGGGGGCA
rnacentral:tRNA from 1 species